GGGUUCGAUUCCGGAGAGGGAGCCUGAGAAACGGCUACCACAUCCAAGGAAGGCAGCAGGCGCGCAAAUUACCCAAUCCCAAUACGGGGAGGUAGUGACAAUAAAUAACAAUAUGGGGCUCUUACGGGUCUCGUAAUUGGAAUGAGUACAAUUUAAAUCUCUUAACGAGGAACAAUUGGAGGGCAAGUCUGGUGCCAGCAGCCGCGGUAAUUCCAGCUCCAAUAGCGUAUAUUAAAGUUGUUGCAGUUAAAAAGCUCGUAGUUGAAUUUCGGAGUUUGUCGGUUGGUCGGGCUUCACUGUCCGCACUGGCCUGAUGGAUUCCUACCUUCUGAAUAACCAGCAUGCUAUUAAGUUAGUGCGUUGGGGAAGCAGAGCUAUUACCUUGAAAAAAUUAGAGUGCUUAAAGCAGGCUUUUGCUUGAAUAGAUUAGCAUGGAAUAAUAAAAUAGGACGGCAUGGUUCUAUUUUGUUGGUUUCUAGGAUCACCGUAAUGAUUAAUAGGGAUAGUUGGGGGCAUUAGUAUUCAAUUGUCAGAGGUGAAAUUCUUGGAUUUAUUGAAGACUAACUUCUGCGAAAGCAUUUGCCAAGGAUGUUUUCAUUAAUCAAGAACGAAAGUUAGGGGAUCGAAGACGAUCAGAUACCGUCGUAGUCUUAACCAUAAACUAUGCCGACUAGGGAUCGGACGAUGUUAAUUUUUUAAUGACUCGUUCGGCGCCUUACGGGAAACCAAAG
rnacentral:rRNA from 1 species